rnacentral:rRNA from 1 species
UACGUAGGGUGCAAGCGUUAAUCGGAAUUACUGGGCGUAAAGCGCACGUAGGCGGCUUUGUAAGUCAGGGGUGAAAUCCUGGGGCUCAACCUCGGAACUGCCUUUGAUACUGCAAAUCUCGAGUCCGAUAGAGGUGGGUGGAAUUCCUAGUGUAGAGGUGAAAUUCGUAGAUAUUAGGAAGAACACCAGUGGCGAAGGCGGCUCACUGGUCCGGUACUGACGCUGAGGUGCGAAAGCGUGGGGAGCAAACAGG